UCACCUCGCUGCCACUAGCGAGGUCUCAGUGCGCCAAGGCUUGCGGGAAGGGAAACUUCACCUCGCUUCACAGCUGCACUUGAAACAAAGAGCUUCAGACAGCAACUUGAGGUUUCGCGAAUGGUAUGAUCGUCGUCUUCAUCGUCUGUUCUCACCGCAGAAGUUGCAGACUGGGGACCAAUGACAGAACACGCUGCUCGAUUUGACCAUUGAACAGAUGCCACUCACAGACAUUUGAUGUUUCUGAAUGUUGCAAGUUCAGGAUGUACCCCGCCUCCCGCCCGAAGAUAGCAGGGAUAGGCUCCAGCAGCCCGCGACCCUAGUGAGGCUAAGCAGUGAAGAAGCUAGAUGGAUGGAUGGGCACAAAGCGCCACCCAAGCUCCAAAGAGGAACUGCAGGAUCACACACACAGAUCAUGAGAUUUUGGCUUGCAUGUACAGUAAGUGGGCUAUAUGUGUAAUAGUGAUUAAUUUAUGUGGUCUAACCUUUGCAAACACAAAAUCUACAAACAGUAUUGUCAUGAUGAUGAACACUUAAUAAUGAUUAAAAUAGUAAUUUUGUCCUGUACCCUAAAACUCUGACACAUCAUAAAAUGUAUUGUAAUCAAUUUGGUUACCUCUUUACAGUCAUGUAACCCUUACGAAGUGCACUUUACA